rnacentral:rRNA from 1 species
ACCACACUCCAGUUAGCCUCAAGUGAUAGUUGACUACCCCCUAAAUUUAAGCAU